rnacentral:lncRNA from 1 species
CGGCCGGACACUUCAAGACAUCAGGACGGAAAGGAGGAUUGCGAACGGCCGAAUAGACGGUAGCGGAGAGUACAGAGUUACCCGGACCUACAAAGCAGAAACACUUCUUAUUAUGAUGCUUAUUAUUAAUGGUUCUUCUUAUUUUUUUUCUUUUUUUUCUUAUAAUUCUUCUUCUUAUUCUUCUUAUUAUUGUUUCUUAUUAUUCUACUUCUUAUUCUUCUUAUUAUUGUUGUUCUUUUCAAUUUUCUUUUUCUUCUUCUUCUCUUUAUUACUAUCAUCCUUAUUAUUAUUCUUAAUAUUACUAUUACUAUUGUCAUUUUUAUUUUUC